AUCGCCUAGAGAGGCCAAGCUUGCGCGUCCCCUCUGCCCGAACCGCGUCUCUGCGUCUCUAUGGCGGCCGCGACAGCCCAUUAGGCACAGAGCGACAUGAACGCGGAUGCUGACGGCCACUGCGGCGCUGCGGUCCCUGUACGGUCUCGAGACGGCAGUCCCGUGGCGGCUGACUUCGUCCCGUCGGCGCUGGGGACACGAGAGCAUUGGGAUGCUGUUUAUGAGAGAGAACUGAGAACAUUCCGAGAAUAUGGAGAUACAGGAGAAAUCUGGUUUGGGGAAGAGAGUAUGAACCGACUAAUAAGGUGGAUGCAAAAACACAAGAUUCCAUCGGAUGCCUCAGUGCUUGACAUUGGAACUGGAAAUGGUGUUUUCCUGGUUGAACUUGUGAAACAUGGUUUCUCUAAUAUAACUGGGAUCGAUUAUUCUCCUUCUGCAAUUAAGCUUUCUGCAAGUAUUUUAGAGAAAGAAGGGCUAUCUAACAUUAACUUGAAGGUAGAAGACUUUUUGAGUCUUUCCACAAAGCUGUCUGGAUUUCAUGUUUGUGUUGACAAAGGGACUUUCGAUGCCAUAAGUCUUAAUCCUGACAAUGCAGUUGAGAAGAGGAAGCAGUAUGUGAAGUCUCUCUCCAGGGUGUUGGAAGUAAAAGGCUUUUUUCUAAUAACCUCAUGUAAUUGGACCAAGGCAGAGUUGCUAGAUGUGUUCAGUGAAGGAUUUGAACUUUUUGAAGAGUUGCCAACACCCAAGUUCAGCUUUGGAGGUAGAUCUGGAAAUACUGUAGCAGCUUUAGUUUUUCAAAAAAGUGAGACUUUCUUGGACAAAGUCAGUUAGCUUUCUAGAAGAAACUGUACAGCAAAGUAAACCCGAUACAGAAGAAGCAAGUACAAAGAGUGCUUAGUAUGGAUGUCCUACACCUGCAUGAGAACUCACACAGAACUAGCAGGGAAGAAAAACAAAGAAGCAGGUGAAUCUCAUCCUUCUUAAAAUGACAGUGGUGUGAAUGAAAACAAAGACCUUUAUUUUUGCAAACAGUAUAUUGACAAACACUGAAGACAGUGAAGAGAUUCACAAGCUUGCAAACUAGGCGAAUAUUCUCAUGGUCCUCUAGUCUCUCCUGCUAGACCCAGAGACAACUUUCCCCCUUCAUAUUUGAACCCAAAGGAUUCAGGAUUUAGAUUGUGUAUUUAAGCUUUGUGAAAUCAUGAACUAUAUAC